GUGGAGACGCUUUAGUCCCUGUCAAGAGAAAAUGACGAGGCAUCUCUGUCAAAAGGGGAGGAAGUUCUUCAAAAGACCACAAAAGUGCCCAGGAGAGAGAGUAUUUUAAACAUCUCCCAAGAGUGCUGGACCAGCAUGACGUCACCAGGCAAGUCAUAACUUUCCUGCUCCCUCUGCUCUCCUCACUCUCCUGUCCAACUCUGGAGGGGCCGCCUGCAUCUGGGGGAGUCAGUGACCUGCUCACCACCAGCAGGAUUCCUGCCUCCUACGGGCCCCGGCAGGCAUGGAGCUGGGGGCAGCAACCUGAACUCAAGUUCAAUAUUUUGAUUAUUAAACUUGACUGGGCAUUUUUUGGUGAGGAAGAUUGGCCCUGAGCUAAGACUCGUGCCAAUUUUCCUGUACCCUGUAUGUGGGAUGCCUGCCACAGCAUGGCCUGACGAGCUGUGGGUAGGUCCAUACCCCGGAUCCAAACCCGCAAACUCUGGGCUACUGAAGCAGAGCACGUGAACUUUACCACUAUGCCACCAGGCCAGCCCCUUGACUGGGCAUUUUAAUUACUCAACUGAAUCAGUGUUGGGUUUUUGCAUAGGACUUUUUAUUACCUGAGAGUUCCUGGAGAAGACAAGGGACCUGCCCAAGUUUUCGUACAGGAGCAGGAAGAGAACUCAGCCCACGAAACACAUUUACAGGGAUAUUGAUGACAGCCAGGCUCAGAGAAGCUAAGUGACUUAUCCAAGGUCACACGAAUGCCAGAUCGGGGAGCCAGGACUCAGACCCAGGCCCUGGAGACAGUUUCCUCCAGCAAACAUCCCUCUUCCCUGGCUGGUAGCGAGGAGGCGGAAGGCCCGCUUGUGCCCAGAAUGCAAGCUUUGUGAGGUGGGGGACUUCGUCUCUGACACUCAGGAUCCCCAGUGCAGGCUCCAUGAUUAUUUGUUGAAUGAAUAUUUGUUACAUGAAUAAAUGAACGUAGAGAGAAUAAAGGGUGAGUUGUUAGUCAUUUUUUCUCUACCUUUGAAAAUGAUACUGUUGGCAAAUACUUCAAUAGGAAAACCAAAAGUAAAUCCAUUUUCCCAUCAGUAUCAAGCAAUUAGAAUGACCUAGGUAAGGUGAGGGGUUACAAAGCUCAGAGAAGGCUCAGUCAGC
rnacentral:lncRNA from 1 species